AAAAAACAAGAAAUGUUUCAGAAGGGUUUUUGAUGAGUAAGGAUCGGUGAUGGACAUUCAAUGCCCGUGGGGGUCGGGGAUGGUUCUCUGUAUUCGCCGAUUCUGCGGAUUCGCGAGGGUUUGGGACCAGAGACACCUGCAUAUAACCCCAGGGAAACUCUAUGUCACUCAGUAUUUCAGAAAAGAAAGGUUAGGUUUGUGGUAGAAAAUGUUAGAAUAUGGAUAAGCAUUUCCAAAAGGUUUUAUGUAGAAAUAAAAAAAACACAAAUGAAUAAAAACUGGAUAACAAAGGGUUUAAAGAAUGGCUGUAUAAAGAAAAUUAAACUCUGUAGGGAUUUAUUAAACUUUGGAUCAGAAGUUAUAUUCGACCUCUUAGCAUGAUGCCAUGAUAUAAUUGCUCAAGUUUUAUAGUUGUGUUUGCACAAACAUGAAAAAGAAAAUUUUGUUUUACUUUAAAAUAAAUCACUGAUUAAAAAAUUAAUUCUGUGCAUUUUGUUGUGAGGUGUCCUAUAAUUGCAUUUUAAUUAACAUCUAUGGUUGUAAAAACCAACUGGUGUAAAUUUUGAAAGGUCCUCCUAUAGCUUUUAUCUUAAAAUUAUUACUAAAGUGAUCAUCUGGCUUGUGCCUGCAAAGUAAUCAGAUAAGUGAAAUCCCCUGUGGCUGCCCUUUAAAAGAAACAGGCAGACAGACAAUUAUUGUCAGACUGCUUUGAAUGCUGAGCAAGUCAUUUCUGUUCCUAGUUCUCAUUUUCUGUCUGUUUUGUCUGACUGAACUCUUUUUGCCCGUCUGCCUUGGAACUUUGGAUUGUGGACUUUGGAUUUGUUUGCUCAUCUGGUUAGAGUUCCCUUUAGCAACCUUUGUCAGUUUGUGCCUCAUCGCACUUCUUCUCAGUCUGGAGGAAAUAGAAGAACUAAACAGGGCAACAGUUUCGUAUGAUGUAAUCAUUCCUCACUCUAAGUAGCUCUGUGCAGUGCUGUGGGCUUCCACUGCAUGGCAUCAUACCUGUAGCUGCGGAUGAUAACAAGGAAAAAAUUUUAUGUAACAAGUACCUUUCAAGACACAAGGACUGUACAGAUAAGACCUAUUCAAGCAACCUAUAACAGCGGUCAUCAACCCCCGGGCCGCGGACCGGUACUGGUCCGUAGGUCAUUUGGUACUGGGCCACACAGAAACUAAACAUUUAGGGUGUCAUGGUGCCUCUGUCAGCCCCGCUCCCUCUGCUCUGCUCCUGACUCCACCAGCUGUGACCAAUUCACCCUCAUCAACCCUGCUGUUCAAAAGGAGACCCAGCUCCACAACUCAACGCCAGUUCAUUGCCCCUUAUGGAUUCCAGCCUCCAAGCGUCACCUGUGUGGAAGUCAGAUCGAGCCCUCCUGCAUUCCUGUGGAAUAGUGAUGGGACAAUGAUACCUCAAGGAGUGUAUUGACACACUAAACAAACUGUGGCGGCACUGUAUUGAUACUGUUGGUCACCCAAUAGUGACUCCUGCAGUAGUUAUAAAAUCAUUGCAGGUAAAUUAAUUCCUUGUUCCUGUAAAUGCUAAAACUGAGUUGGUAUGUAAAAUAUAGCAAAUUAGAGUAAAAAUUCAGAGUUACAAUUUUUUAACUUAUGUGCACAUUUGUCAACUUUACUGUUAAAUCAUAUGAAAUAAAAGACAAAAAAAUGA